AUGUUGACGAACGUUACCAACCCUUUAUACGGUCAGGUCGAUGCGCUGUCAGAGGCACUGCAGGAGACACUGGUAAAAAUUCUGACGAACAGGAUGUCAGAAGCCCACGGCAUGCGGAAGUUUCCGGGCCACAGCAGUGACAACCCUGGAUUCAUAACCCGCUGCGCCACAACAGAACUCCAAAGUUCUCUUUACACCAUCCCAACUCUGGGGUUGUCUUGGGUGGAGGAAUGGGAGAUUGAUUGUGUAGAUUCAGCCUUACCGCUCUUUUCUAACAAACUGUGGAAGCCUCACAAAGACAAUUGUAUUUGAAAGUAAUUGAUUUCUUUUGUAAUUCAAAAUGUCUUAUUCUACACAUUAAAAUUCUUUAAUCUGAGAAGGGUAGGCAGGUUUCCGCAGAUCACCAAAAGAAUUCUUGGUAGAAGAAAGGCUAAAAAAGAGAGCACGAGGAGAAAAACAUUGGUGGGAUCAGGCCCCAGGCUCUGUGUGCAGCCUAAACACUGGUGGGGAAGAAAUGGGAAGGAAGAUUCAGAGGGAAAAACGAUGGGACAGGGAAGAGGAAGAGGAAAGGGGAAGAAAGAGAUGGAAUGAAAGGAGAAAUUUAUUCACUGGUUCCCAGUUAUAUGACAGCUUGUCUUUCUGGGCAACCUUUGUCUUUUAACGCAGCCUCUCACUCUUCUACCCAUCUGAUUCUGGGAAUUUUAGCAUUUUCUUCAAGUCUACUAACUCUACACAAUCUCCUCUACCAGGACCAUUUCUGGCCCCUUACAGAUGGCCUCUUACUAAUCCUUUCUCUUGUGGUCCUACGAGACUGUAGAGGAGGGAAAAUUUCACCUCUACCCUCCUGGGGUUGGUUUCUAGCUGGGCCUGAGAAUUAGAUUAACAUGAGGCAGAGUAACAGGAGGAAAACAUUCAGAUUUUCACGUGUUCACGGGAGCUUCAAUAGGAAAAUGAAAACCCAAAGAAGUGGUUAAGCUAAGUGUUUAUAUACUAGGUUGGUAAUGAGAAAUGAUUGUGAAAAAGUAAACUGUGGGAAGACUAAAGGAAGAUACAGGUUAUUUUAACAAGGUCUGUUUGUGUGGAUUUCUCUUGGCCUUUUCUUCUUGGCCUGUCUCUGGUGACAAGAAUAAUUGCACUUGCUGUUUUCUAAAUGCUUUUAGCUCAAAAUAAUUCUUAUACCAAAUUAGCCUACUUUGGGGUGGCAUAUAGUCAAAGUGUUGAAAUAACAAAGAACAAGAUACGCAGCGCAGAUCUCCUUGUGGUACCGUGGGAUCACCAUGCUGAAAGUAAACACAGCAGACUUUGUUGUAGCUGUUAAUAAAGUAAAAAAAAUCCUCA
rnacentral:lncRNA from 1 species